CUUGAAAUACCACCCUUUAAUGUUUGAUGUUCUAACGUUGACCCGUAAUCCGGGUUGCGGACAGUGUCUGGUGGGUAGUUUGACUGGGGCGGUCUCCUCCUAAAGAGUAACGGAGGAGCACGAAGGUUGGCUAAUCCUGGUCGGACAUCAGGAGGUUAGUGCAAUGGCAUAAGCCAGCUUGACUGCGAGCGUGACGGCGCGAGCAGGUGCGAAAGCAGGUCAUAGUGAUCCGGUGGUUCUGAAUGGAAGGGCCAUCGCUCAACGGAUAAAAGGUACUCCGGGGAUAACAGGCUGAUACCGCCCAAGAGUUCAUAUCGACGGCGGUGUUUGGCACCUCGAUGUCGGCUCAUCACAUCCUGGGGCUGAAGUAGGUCCCAAGGGUAUGGCUGUUCGCCAUUUAAAGUGGUACGCGAGCUGGGUUUAGAACGUCGUGAGACAGUUCGGUCCCUAUCUGCCGUGGGCGCUGGAGAACUGAGGGGGGCUGCUCCUAGUACGAGAGGACCGGAGUGGACGCAUCACUGGUGUUCGGGUUGUCAUGCCAAUGGCACUGCCCGGUAGCUAAAUGCGGAAGAGAUAAGUGCUGAAAGCAUCUAAGCACGAAACUUGCCCCGAGAUGAGUUCUCCCUGACCCUUUAAGGGUCCUGAAGGAACGUUGAAGACGACGACGUUGAUAGGCCGGGUGUGUAAGCGCAGCGAUGCGUUGAGCUAACCGGUACUAAUGAACCGUGAGG
rnacentral:rRNA from 1 species